rnacentral:rRNA from 1 species
GACGAACCGAGCGAACGUUAUUCGGAAUCACUGGGCUUAAAGGGUGCGUAGGCGGGCUGUCAAGUCUGGGGUGAAAUCCGGCAGCUUAACUGUCGAACUGCCUUAGAUACUGAUGGCCUCGAGGAAGGUAGGGGCAUGCGGAACUGUAGGUGGAGCGGUGAAAUGCGUUGAUAUCUACAGGAACUCCGGUGGCGAAAGCGGCGUGCUGGACCUUUUCUGACGCUGAGGCACGAAAGCUAGGGAAGCAAACGGG